GCCUCACCACUCCAUUCUUGAUUAUGUAGAACCAUUCCAAUCCUGAGUGACAGGAUUUGCAAAGACAGCUGUUGGGCUCCACAAACAUUUGGAGGAGGGGAAAAUGUGAGGUUGGUUGCUACAUUCUCCUACUUCUUUUUACUGAAAGGAACAGCUGCGAUCUUCACAUGUAAGAUGAAGUAAACAAAAGCUGACAAUGCCCAGCACCAUUCAGCAGUAAGCAUUCAAAUGGAUUUUUCCUCACCGCGUUUGCAGGCCCGGCACAGUCUCAGUUCCCCACAGCACAGAGAGGAAGCAAGGUCUUUGCAUGCCCUGUUCACUUGGCCAAACAUUGCCCUAGAUGUGCAAUUCAACCCAUAUAAAGCAAGCGUAAUUCAAGAGCCCUGACUCUUUCACCAUUUCAUGAUGGCUUAUUACUCGCACACGGCAUUGUCAGGUUCCAGCAACUCUGUGUGCAGCAGGCAGAAAUGCAGUGUUUAUCUCUGACAGGCAAACAUUCUUAGGCUCAUCGGCAUGAGUAUCCACGCUGAACUGGCUAUCGGGGAAGUAGAUCCCUGCAUGGGAAAGUCAAGUAUCCCCACUGUGUAGAGCUGGUCCACAAUGGAGAGGAGGAAAAGUUUUGCAUUGGACCAAAUCACUGCCUUAGAAGGAAAGAGAUUGCAAUCCCAUUCAUUUUUAAGAUCUGCAAUGGGUUGGGAUGAUACCCAUUUAAAAAAGAAAAAAAAAGAGGUUACCUCUUUGGCCUCUUUGGCAAAGGAUAUGAACUAGUAAUAAAGCCUCAGCAUCAAGGCUUGGGAGUCUGGCUCAAAGUGGCUAAGACUAGAAGCAUCUUCUAACAUAAAUAUGGCAGCAUUAGGAAAAUAGCUUGGCCUUUAGAGAGACCCAGAUUAUCUUCACCUUAAAAACUACCAAGACCCUGGUCCAGCAAGACCACCAUCACAGCAGUAAAUACAUAGCCACCAACUUCACAGAAGGUUUUCCACUGAGACAUUGUGAAAACCACAAUCCAUUACCGGUGGAUGAGUCCCAGCUCUCUUACUACCUGGAGCUUCCAAGCAAGACUUACCUGUCCUUUGUUCCAGAUUGGUUCCUGGGAUCCUGGACCAACACAAAGAGAAGAGGAAAGCCUCAAGGGAAAUAAAAGUGAAGGUUUCAGUGAUAGUUUAAAUAUAUAUUUUUAAAUGUUAGCUUUUUUUUAAAUACUUCACAGUGAUGGAUGGAGUAUUUCAACCACAAUGGCAAAGAAUGAAUUACCGGCAGUGUCAGAGUUUCUUGUUGCUGUGGGAAGACAGCUGCCAUGUUGAGAGGUGCCUUGUGGAGAGGCUCAUGUGGCGAGGAACUGAGACUGGCUUCUAUCCAACAACCAGUGAGGAACUAAGGCCCUAAAGUCCUAUAGUCCACAAGGAACUAAAUCCUACCAACAACUACAUGAGUGAGCCUGGAAUCUGAUUUUCCCCAGUGGGGACUUAAGGUACCUACAACCUGGCUGUUAUGGGCUAAACUGCAUCCUGCCCAAAUUUAUAUGUUUGAGUCUUAACUCCCAGCACUUCAGAACAUGGUUUUGUUUGGAGACAUAGUCAUUAAAGAGGUAAUGAAGUUAAAAUGAGGUCAUUAGGAUGAGUCCUAAUCCAAUAGGACUGGUGUUCUUAUAUGAAGAGGAAAUUUGAACACAGACACAUAUACAGGAAAGACCAUGCGAAGAAGACACAGAGAGGAAACGGCCAUCUACAAUCCAAGGAGAGAGGCCUCAGAACAAGCCAACCCUGCAGAUACCUUGAUCUAGGCAUCCAGAAUUGUAUGAAAAUACAUUUUUGUUAUUUAAGCUACCCAGUCUGUGGUGCUUUGUUAUGGCAAUCCCAGAAAACUAAUUAACUAAUUGACUGCAGCCUUGCAAGGGACCCUGAACCAGAGGACCCAGUUAAGCCAUGUGCAGAUUCCUGACUCACAGAACUAGGAGAUAACAAAUGUUUGUUGUUCUAAGGUGCUAAAUGUUGGGAAAAUAUGUUAUGUGGCUAUGUUGUUUUGCACAUGUGCCACAUAAUGAUGUUUUGGUCAACAACAGACCACACAUAUGAUGGUGGGCCCAUAAGAUUGUAAUACUGUGUUUCUAUUAUGCAUUCUCUAUUUAUAGAUACACAAAUACUUGCCACUGUGUUACAAUUGCCUACUGUCUUCAGUACUGUAACAUGCUGUACAGGUUUGUAGCCCAGAAGCAAUAGACUAUACCAUACAGUCUGGGUGUGUAGUAGGCUAUACCAUCUAUGUUUGUGAAGUACACUCUAUGAUGUUCACAUAAUUAUGAAGUUGCCUAGUGAUGCAUUUCUCAGAAUGCAUGCCCGACAUUAAGUGACACUUGGCUUUAUGUCUAUCAUGCAUUUAAGAUAUUGCAAUAUAGUUAACUUAUGUUUUAAUACACCUCUUAAUUCUGUUUUGAUCCCACACCAACCAAGAUGCAAAACUAAUUUUUUCGCCCAUUUCCAUAAAAAACACAAUUACAAUGGGCCUAAUGUGGUUUAUGUCAUUUUCCCUGAAGAUUUGUGGUGGUAUAGGAAGCAGUCACAGCACCCUGUAUAAAGCUCUUCCAUGGCCUGCCCCCUUUUCGCAGUCACCUCUAUUAUUUGAAGGAAUGGUCCAACCAACCUCAAAGCUCUGGAAAUUUGCCCCAAAAUAAUUUUACCCUGAAGCCAUUGAAGCUUAAGUUUCAGACCCCAGUUUCACAUUCCUGUGAGUUCUGCAAGUCACUGGGAGCUAUAGAGUCUUCUACGUAGAUUUGGGAAACAAGGUGAAAAUACCUCAAGAAAUCUCAGAAGCCAGGGGCCUGCAUCUCCAAGCCUCUGGCAAUUUUCUUGUGGUUUCUAUCCUCACUCUAGAUAUUUGCUUUUGAGACUGAUUUUGAAUUCAGAAUUUUAUAUUCUCUCAAAAAGAGAAUUCUCCAAAUUCUAUAAGCUUCAGGCUCUACAAAACUUGUCUAUUCUGCCUAACUAGAUUUAUCAUAGCACGUACCAAAGAUGGCCCUGCCUCAUGAGGACUUUUCAUAUCAGACCCUUAGAUAAUAAUAUUCCCUCAUGUAAGUAAUAAUAUUUCCGCAUGUAGUUAUGUAUGAAUAAUUUUCAUUCAUCUAUAUCAUGUUGGCCAUAGUCAGUGUCCAUGUCCAAUUUAUUUUUUGUGUCCUUGGUGCUCAGAAAGUUACCAGAUGUUCAGUCAGAAUUUUAUUUAAAAUAUUUUGAUGAACUAGAUUUAAAGAUAGAUUAAAUUAAUUCCUACACAUGAUUUAAUUUAAUGGAUAAAAUAAGGGACUGAGCAUUAGCCUGAACUGUGUACUUGCAUUAGCCCUGAUGUUCCCCAGAGGGAAUAAUAUGUGAAGAAUACUGCAUAGGCUGAAAAACAAGAGUUCCCAGCAGACCAAUAUUCUUUCUUUCUGCAAGCUGUGAGACACCUGGGGAAAGUUCUCCACAUUUGGUUUUUCAGCUACUCCACCCAUGACUAGAAGGAAGAUUUUAUUUUAUUAUUUUAUUUUAUUGUAUUUUUUAACAGUAAAAGAAAAAUUAUUGUUAUUUUAAUGAAAAAGAACCACCUGGAAAGUCUAGUGACAUUUUUGAAGGCAGGGACCACUUUUUCCAGGGAUUUGUUUCCCUAUGCUAGUGCUCCAUUCACCCUUGCACCACUUCAGCAAAGCACAUAGUAGGUGUAGCAGGGAGAUGUUAAGAUGGAAACUUGGCCCUGACCAUAGGCCAAGCCAGGGUGUCUAGUCGGGAUUUAUCCAUAAACAUCAAUAUUUAUCACUAGAUGAUAUAUUGAUUUCUUAUCUGCCUCCUAUACCUAUUGAUCUAUUUUUCACAGCUUAUAGUGGGGAGGGUCAUGUUCAGUUAUUAUCCUUAAACCAAAACAAUCUCUUCUUGAAAAAUAGGAUGCUAUGCUCUGAUGUUUGCAGAGGCCAGGAAAUUCUUGCUCUGAGAGUUCCAGAAAAAAAGAUUUGUCCAGAUUUGAACUAAUUUCAGAAAAACAAAACAAAAACAAAAAACCAUCCAAGGUUAAGAGGUGACUUCUGACUCACAGAAUGAACAAGAAGGCAGGGGAAAAAAUAAGUCCCCCAAGAUUCAGGUCAAAGGAAAUGAACAGAAGGAUGAUGGAGUGGCCCAGAGGAGGAUCACGUGACAGAAAAGUCAAGAUAAAUUAGUGGCAGGACAGAGGAAAAGAACUAAAGACCUGCAGGAUCCUGAAAGAAAGAAUGAAAGGAAGCAGAUGAAGAUUCUAGAGCCCAGCUGAAUAGCCAGGCCGCCUGAGGGUAAAGAGGGAGAGAAAGAGGAAGCAGUGAAUCAAAUCAAAAAAGGAUAGAAAAAUACAGAGAAACAAGCCAGGGCACGGUGGCUCUCACCUGUAAUCCCAGCACUUUGGGAUGACAAGGAAGGCGGAUCACAUGAGGCCAGGAAUUUGAGACCACGCUGGCCAACAUGGCAAAACCCUGUCUCUACUAGAAAAAUAUGGAGGAAUGUUUGAGAGAUUGUGCACUGCCAGGGGUGAGGACAUAAAUUUAUUUGCUAUGUGAAUGUUUUUUGAGACUCAUCUAGUUCCUUUACAAUUUUAAUUUAGAAUUUCUUUAGCUCCAAAUCAGGAUCAUUAGCUGGGAGUUCUUAUAAAUCAAAAGCAAAACAAAGCUAUUGCAAACAAGUGGGAGUUCUCAUAACCUUAAUCAGAAAGGCUUGAGUUGCAUUUCCAAAUCCUGUCUCUAGAGACCAUGAGUUUUUAAUGAUAGUAUUUCCAUGAAAGCCCAAUUGAAUACAAUCACCACCCAGACCAAAGUGUAGGGGAAAUCAUAAAGCUACUUUCAAAUCCGAGUCUUCUUUGAAAUUUAAAAUUAUAUUCCAUGAUAAUGGUUCUCAUAAACCUUAAUGCAAGGGAAAAAAAAAAAACUACA
rnacentral:lncRNA from 1 species